UUAUGUCCCCACCAAAACGAGUUCAUCAUCUUCUCAAUCUCAUCACAAAGGGAGGAUGGAAUUAGAAAUAUGCUCAUAACAUAGGAUGGGAUUGAUUGUAGGACCGAUUUGAUUAAAAUCUCUCUGCCUGCUUGNGGGAGCCCAAGAUAUUUACCAGUUCCUAAUACUUGUUGCACUCCUAAGAUGGAUGCAACAGAGUCUUUAACAGAAGCAGCAACAUUACGGCUACAAUAGAAUUCAGAUUUUUGCAAAUUGAUG
rnacentral:lncRNA from 1 species